rnacentral:rRNA from 1 species
CUACCAUGGCUAUUACGGGUAACGGAGGAUUAGGGUUCGAUUCCGGAGAGGGAGCCUGAGAAACGGCUACCACAUCUAAGGAAGGCAGCAGGCGCGUAAAUUACCCAAUCCUGAUUCAGGGAGGUAGUGACAAGAAAUAACGGACCGAGGUCUUAUGAUUUCGGGAUUGCAAUGAGCCGAAUUUACACCCCUUAGCGAGAAUCGAUUGGAGGGCAAGUCUGGUGCCAGCAGCCGCGGUAAUUCCAGCUCCAAUAGCGUAUAUUAAAGUUGUUGCAGUUAAAAAGCUCGUAGUUGGAUUUCUGGUUAGGUGCUAAUGUCCGCCAUUGUGCGUGUGCAGCGGCGCCCUUCCAUCCUUCUGUUAACGCCUCUUGGCAUUCAUUUGCUGGUGGUGGGCUCAGAUAUUUUACCUUGAGAAAAUUAGAGUGUUUCAGGCAGGCUAGGCCCGGAAUAUAUUAGCAUGGAAUAAUGGAAUAGGACUAUGGUCUCUUUGUUGGUUUGAGGGACUGCAGUAAUGAUUAAUAGGGAUAGUUGGGGGCAUUAGUAUUUAAUUGCCAGAGGUGGAAUUCUCAGAUUUGUUAAAGACUAACUUAUGCGAAAGCAUUUGCCAAGGAUGUUUUCAUUAAUCAA